rnacentral:rRNA from 1 species
UACAGAGGCCCCGAGCGUUAAUCGGAAUCACUGGGCUUAAAGGGCGCGUAGGCGGCAAUUCAAGUCAGUUGUGAAAUCUCCGAGCUUAACUCGGAACGGUCAACUGAUACUGUUUUGCUAGAGUACAGAAGGGGCAAUCGGAAUUCUUGGUGUAGCGGUGAAAUGCGUAGAGUAUCAAGAGGAACACCUGAGGUGAAGACGGGUUGCUGGGCUGAUACUGACGCUGAGGCGCGAAAGCUAGGGUAGCAAACGGG